rnacentral:misc_RNA from 1 species
GUUCGACGCGUUCGACGUUUGCACAAUGGCACGAUAAAUCAGCGUCAAACGUACGCUUCAUUUUGUCCGUCAAUUUGUUGGAUACCACAACGACGCACGCUGAACUUUAAGUCGCGUAUCCGUUGACAGCGCGAGGAGUUCGCUCAACGUUUUGCGAGGCAUGUGACGACUGCUAAUGUUUCUGGUCUAAUGUACUUCGUGACUUCGUACGUACGUAUGUUUCAUAUACGAAUAUUUUCGCGACCUGUUUCAUCUUUAAAUUUGUUAACCACACUUAAAGAACACUGGUAUUCUUCUGAGGUAGUAAUAAUAAUCGUAAUUGUAAAGGAUCGGGAUAUUUAUUCAAGUAAAUACGUGACAUG